AUACGGAGGCUGCAAGCGUUAUCCGGAUUUAUUGGGUUUAAAGGGUGCGCAGGCGGAAAAUUAAGUCAGUGGUGAAAUCCUACAGCUUAACUGUAGAACUGCCAUUGAUACUGAUUUUCUUGAGUGCAGUUGAGGUAGGCGGAAUGUGUAAUGUAGCGGUGAAAUGCUUAGAUAUUACACAGAACACCGAUUGCGUAGGCAGCUUACUAAACUGUUACUGACGCUCAGGCACGAAAGCGUGGGGAGCGAACAGGAUUAGAAACCCUGGUAGUCC
rnacentral:rRNA from 1 species